rnacentral:rRNA from 1 species
AACGAACGCUGGUGGCAUGCCUAACACAUGCAAGUCGAACGAAGCCUUCGGGCUUAGUGGCGCACGGGUGCGUAACGCGUGGGAAUCUGCCCUUGGGUUCGGAAUAACAGUUAGAAAUGACUGCUAAUACCGGAUGAUGUCUUCGGACCAAAGAUUUAUCGCCCAAGGAUGAGCCCGCGUAGGAUUAGGUAGUUGGUGGGGUAAUGGCCCACCAAGCCGACGAUCCUUAGCUGGUCUGAGAGGAUGAUCAGCCACACUGGGACUGAGACACGGACCAGACUCCUACGGGAGGCAGCAGUGGGGAAUAUUGGACAAUGGGCGAAAGCCUGAUCCAGCAAUGCCGCGUUAGUGAUGAAGGCCUUAGGGUUGUAAAGCUCUUUUACCAGGGAUGAUAAUGACAGUACCUGGAGAAUAAGCUCCGGCUAACUCCGUGCCAGCAGCCGCCGUAA